AGCUUUGUUGCAGGCACUAUAAUGGAGAGAAAUUGGAAUUUCAAGGCAAAAACAAAGGCAAACAAAUCCAAAUGGGAACUUUGUUUCACUGCACCACACAGAAAGGGUCAGGACAGCCAGAUCCACCAGCAGUGACUUUUUAAGAUGGAAAAUAACCAGGGCUCAGACCCAGCUGGGUCUGGAGAAGGCCUGUGGUUCCAAAUCUAUGGAGAGAAAGAUGGACAGGGCUGUGCUAGCACAUGCACAAACACUCAGAAGAUUAUAUUCUGAAAACAUUUUCUCCUGAAGUGAAAUUUAUUUUAUAUUGAACUCUAUUAAAGUCAACAGCAUUGAAGUCUGAAUAACAAAUAUGAAAGCAGGUAAAGACAAUUUGCACAAGACAAGACACGCAAGGAAGGGGGGGGGGAGAUACUAUUAACAUCCAUGAUGCCACUGAGGCCUGAAGAGAAGAAUCAAUCCCCUUUGAAGGGCUCUUUCGCCAAGGGAGGAGGGAGACUGUAGACCGAGCCACGUAGCAGCUCCUUUAAAAGGCCCUAUUACUUCGAGUUCAGGGUAUCACUGCUGAAGUAAGUAUUUGAAAAAGACUGCCCACAUCCCCAAGCAGAGAAUGGAUUCUGCUGAAAACCUGUCACACUGUGCAUUUUGCUCCAGAAAUAACAACAACUGUCAUUUAUGGCCCACCUUUCUCAUUGAGACUCAAGGCGGAUUACACAGUGUGAGAGUAGUACAGCCAGUAUCAAGGGCAAUUUCAUAAACAAUGAAGCUGGGACAUUUCUCUCUCCCUCUGCUGUGUCAAUGGAACCUUUUUUCCAGUUGUGUUAUCCUGUGGAGAGCCAUGUAUGCUGCGCAUGUGUUAUAAAUAAACAAAGUUCUAGGCACUUAGAAAACUCUUUGAUAAUGUCCAAAGAUUUAAGGACAGAAUGGCUGGCUGAACAAAUUCACUGCUUGAGUUGCACCUAUAUGCACGCCUGCCCCCAAGAUCCAAACAGGAAUCAGCAGGAAAGCACACAGGCCACGCAAUUCAGAAGAGGCACACAGUGGGAUGGAAUAUCCCAUGGACUCAGUGAUCAGGGAUAUCCUGCAAGGAACUCACGGGUGUUGUGGAUUCAUUCACAUUUUUGUACAGAUUAAAUCUGAGAACAACAAUGCUGUUCUGACGUCCCACUUCUGAGUACUGCAUGAGUGCAUUUCCCAGGAGCCCUCUAAGACAAGAACCCGGAAUAGCAGCUGUCCAGGGACCAACCAGGCUUCUGAGGCUUUCUCACAGUACAGGGAUGCUGCAGGCCCAGGAUUCUCCCCCUCUCUUAUUAAGGAGGUAGCUGUAUGAGCAGCAGGCAACAUAUGUUCAGAGAAAGCUUCCAGGAGUUGACCAGCAAGCAUGAUGAAAGAAGAUAAAUCCCUCAUGAGGAGCUGUUCGCAAGCACAGGCUGAGAGAAGAAACCUGUAAAAGUCUUAGAGAUUAUCAGAAUUUCUUGUGAUGGGGUCGAUGAGGAAGAAGCCAACUUGCUAACCACUUGAGUGAAUAUGCUGAAAAAUUAGGUAAUUAACAGUACAUGCCUGUUGUACUGCAGCUCUGGUGUUUUAGCUUUUCGUCAGACCUAGAGGAUUUCUCUAUAACAAAACUUGGAAUAUAUUUUAGUGCCAUGUUGUUAAUGCCAGUACAAACCCCACUAGCAUUUCCUAAUGCAUAGCAUACCGAAAUGCUACAUUAAGGGGGAAGGAAUUCAACUCAUGGUCAUUUCCUCUCCCCAUCAUUUAAAAAGAUUGGGGUUUUUAAAAACCAGUAAGCUAAGAAAAAAGUGUAAAAAGGGGUUUUAAAAGGUAAAGGUAGUCCUCUGUGCAAGCACUGAGUCAUUACUGACCCAUGGAGGGACAUCGCAUCACGACGUUUUCAUGGCAAACUUUUUGUUGGGAUUUUUGCAAGUGUCCUACGUUCAGUCAUGAAAGAGUUAAAUUGUUAUUCUGUUUGUUUAGUCAGAUAGCUAGUUAGCAUAGAACCGCUUAGGCCUCGAGUAAAUGUUCUCGCCAUAGAAAGGGGAGUCUUUAGUCUUAAUGAAGGAAUCUAGGAUUGUCUAUUGGAUGAGCCACUUUAUUGGAGGGCAAUUAGCUAGCAACAUAUACUAAGAUUUUAUUGCUCUUUGUUCAGUCUUUGCUCAGUCUCAGUCUCUAAGUUUCUAUCUCUAAGAUCCUAGUCUAGCCAUCAAGAUGUAGUUAGUUAGCUAUUCUUUAUUUUCUUACCAAAUGUACCCUUUUUCCUUGUUAUGUAGUAAAGUAUUUUUCUAGAGCGAAAACCACAGAAAUCUGUCUACGUAUUUCCAAUGUGCUAACAUCAAACUCUGCUACUUUCUUAUCUAUUUUAAAUCUCACCCAUCAUCACUUUUGUUACAGGGUGGUUUGCCAUUGCCUUCCCCAGUCAUCCACACUUUACCCCCAGGAACCUGGAUACUCUUUUUACUGACCUUGGAAAGAUGGAAGGCUGAGUCAACCUUGAGCUGGCUACCUGAACCUGGCUUCCGCCAGGAUUGAACUCAGGUCGUGAGCAGAGCUUGGGCUGCAGUACUGCAGCUUACCACUCUACGCCACAGGGCUCUGUAAGAAGGGGUUUACACAGUUAAUUCUCUCCCUAUCCCUGCAGCUGAAGGGCCAUAUUGGCACCUAACUGUUAACUGAAGGACCCUGGAAGGUUAAUAUAGUGAAGGCCUGCUGUGGAAACGGCAGAGGAGCAGACAAUUAGCUGGUUAUUGGAUUGCUGAAGGAAAGCAUUGGGCAGACUUAAAAGACUUGAGAGAAAAAUGAGCAAUUUCUCUUUUUUUUUUCCAGGAGCAGACAGGAAAUGAGUAAAAGUACAUUAACUGAGGGGAAAUUGAUUUAAGAGGAUUUGACAGGAAAUUAAUUUUGAGGAAAACAAACUGGAGGGAAAUUAAGAAAAAAGGAAUAUAUAUUUCUGAGAUUGGAAGCAUUGCUUGGGUAGGUAAGAAAUGCAUUUGCUUGAUAUUGAUUUUAUGGGGAUCAAUUAAAAGGUGCCCAAGAUAUCACUGCAACCAGUCCUCAAGCCACAAUGUAAUUGCCUUUGCUAACAUCAAGCAACUUCAAAUAGUGAUCACAGUGAUGGGGAAUCAAUAAAAACAGUGUUACCAGUGAUGUCACACAGCAUAAGCAACGGAAUUCAAUACUGAUGAAUGAUCCUUCCUAUGAAUCUCAGUGUCUCACAAGCAUGAACUCUCUCUACCACUGGAAAUAUACAAAUACUUGAACGGAAAUGUGCUUGCCCCAACAUGGAGCGUCUCAUCUACAUAGGUUACAAUGGGACAGCUCCACUCCUUAUGCGAUUCCUUAUAGGAACAUCAGAAUAAGAAGCCACCUGGUGUUAAACCUGAUGUUAAAGUAAGUUGGACCUAAAAUUAAUAAAAAAUAUAUUAUAAAAAAAAGCCACAAAAAUGUUGUCAGCCCUAACUUCUUUCCUCCAUCUCGUCCUUCCAGCUGUUCCCACUAAUAACCAUGCUAAAUGAAGAACAAUCUCUUUCCUACCUGGUUUGGACAAUGGCAUGACCCGUGGAAAAUGACGUCGGGAUGGUCUUAGGGGGCUGUAAAAAACAAGGAACACAAAUUAAAUAAAGAAGAUAUCUGCAUAUUCAGCUGAGAUGCUAGAGGCCUGCAGAACAGUCACUCUGAAAGUG